CCUACGGGAGGCAGCAGUGAGGAAUAUUGGUCAAUGGACGAGAGUCUGAACCAGCCAAGUAGCGUGAAGGAUGACUGCCCUAUGGGUUGUAAACUUCUUUUAUAUGGGAAUAAAGUGAGCCACGUGUGGCUUUUUGUAUGUACCAUACGAAUAAGGAUCGGCUAACUCCGUGCCAGCAGCCGCGGUAAUACGGAGGAUCCGAGCGUUAUCCGGAUUUAUUGGGUUUAAAGGGAGCGUAGGCGGACGCUUAAGUCAGUUGUGAAAGUUUGCGGCUCAACCGUAAAAUUGCAGUUGAAACUGGCAGUCUUGAGUACAGUAGAGGUGGGCGGAAUUCGUGGUGUAGCGGUGAAAUGCUUAGAUAUCACGAAGAACUCCGAUUGCGAAGGCAGCUCACUAGACUGCAACUGACACUGAUGCUCGAAAG
rnacentral:rRNA from 1 species